CCUACGGGGGGCAGCAGUGGGGGAUAUUGCACAAUGGGGGAAACCCUGAUGCAGCGACGCCGCGUGUGGGAAGACGGUCCUCUGGAUUGUAAACCACUGUCCCCAGGGACGAAGAUGACGGUACCUGGGGAGGAAGCUCCGGCUAACUACGUGCCAGCAGCCGCGGUAAUACGUAGGGAGCGAGCGUUGUCCGGAAUUACGGGGUGAAAAGGGAGCGUAGGCGGGACUGCAAGUUGGGUGUCAAAUCUACCGGCUCAACCGGUCGCCGCACUCAAAACUGCAGUUCUUGAGUGAAGUAGAGGCAGGCGGAAUUCCUAGUGUAGCGGUGAAAUGCGUAGAUAUUAGGAGGAACACCAGUGGCGAAGGCGGCCUGCUGGGCUUUUACUGACGCUGAGGCUCGAAAGUGUGGGGAGCAAACAGGAUUAGAUACCCCGGUAGUC
rnacentral:rRNA from 1 species